rnacentral:rRNA from 1 species
GGUCCAGACUCCUACGGGAGGCAGCAGUGGGGAAUAUUGCGCAAUGGGCGAAAGCCUGACGCAGCGACGCCGCGUGAGGGAUGAAGGUCUUCGGAUCGUAAACCUCUGUCAGCAGGGAAGAACGGUCACUGUGCUAAUCAGCAGUGAAUUGACGGUACCUGCAAAGGAAGCACCGGCUAACUCCGUGCCAGCAGCCGCGGUAAUACGGAGGGUGCGAGCGUUAUCCGGAUUUAUUGGGUUUAAAGGGUGCGCAGGCGGCCUUUUAAGACCGGGGUAAAAGCCGGGGGCCCAACCCCGGCGAGCCGUUGAAACUGGCGGGCUGGAGUUGGAGAGAAGUACGCGGAAUGCGCGGUGUAGCGGUGAAAUGCUUAGAUAUCGCGCAGAACCCCGAUUGCGAAGGCAGCGUACCGGCUCCACACUGACGCUGAGGCACGAAAGCGUGGGUAUCGAACAGGAUUAGAUACCCCGGUAA